ensembl:lncRNA
AAUAGGAAUAAUGGGGAUGAAUAGAUGUCUUGUAUAAGGAUUUUUCCUAGUUUUUGGACUUCUUUUGGAGUGGGUAUUACUACCAAGUGGUGGUUUUUAAAACAAAUUUAUGCUGUUGUGCAAAACUGUUUUUAUUUGCAUAGUCGUAACGACUGUUACAACCGGUAUAAAAUGAAUACAGUAAGAAUUCUUCACACACUUUAAUACCGGUACAGAGCCGAAAUCACUUUUGUCGCAGCAUAAUGUAUUAUUUACCGCUCAUUGCUGACGGUGCAGCGGUUGGCACUACCUGCCUUGUGUGCAUUGAGAUUGAGUCGUGGUUAUAACUUUAUAACAACCAUGUCAAACACCAGGGCACAAAAGUUGGUGACGCAUAAACAAUUUGGACACUACUAAAUGAAGCUUAGGCGAAAAUUCAGUCAGGAAGACUGGACAGGCUGUGCCGUUCCCUGGUGGCCUCCUCUCUCCCUGGGGGCGCACGGCCAGCUGAUUAGGGGCGGGGUCGGGUAGUAUCAGACGUGGGUGUCGUUACCGUAAACCAAUCGCAUUGGGGCAGGCAACGUUAAAAAAACUGUUCUCUCUUUUGCUGUCAGUUGUCAUUUCAGCACGCUCCAAAGGUGACCCGCCACCACCCCUGACACCUCCAAUCUACAGCAGAACCGGGCAUAGCUGGAGAGUUAUGCAACUUGGGCUCUACCACCACCACCACCAGUGUCUGGACUCCCAAGGGGGGGAUAUGCCUCGUCUCGGCUCGAGAUCCCGGACCCGGGUCUGUCCUGCGGCAGGAUGGAGUCCAAGCCCCAAACAACUUGCAAUAUCAUAUUAUACCUGUUAUAAUAAAGAAUUGUCUCUCCGGAUUGAAUUGUACAUUUAUAAAAAUUACAAAAUUAUUAUAAAAUUACCCCGAACAGCAUGCUGGGUGCAGCUCGCCCAACAUUACAAGAAGAAACUCAGUAAAUACAUGAAAACACGGAAAAAAAGCGAUGCAGAAGGAAUCAACAAGAGACCAGUGAUGCGCAAACAUAGCGUGUGCCCAAGAGAAGAGCUGUGUCUGUUUUGAGGGUUUGGGAUUUUGGAAAGUCCAACGUAAUUAGAUGAGAAUACUUUUUCUUGCUGGAUGUUACGCAGAGAUUCUUUAGUUCAGAUUUAACUUAACUGCAAAUUCUAGACUUUUUUUAACCCAUAAUCAACCACAUUUGAUACCUAAAAUGUUUAUUUAGAGGGAGCAAAUGGCAAAAUCUAAUCUUGAAAUGAAUGUAUGAAUGUACCAAGAACUGAGCAAAUAAUCAUGGUCAACAUCCACUUACUAACCUUUCAGGGGAUUUUCCUUUGCAUCGUAUGGUAACAUUACAACUACUCCAAGCAAUCUGUCUGCAGGAAAUUCAAACCUUACUUUGUGAACAAAUGGAUGGCGGUCAGUGAAACCCGUCCAAAACUGGUGUCCAAAACAUCCCAUCCAUUCACUCUUUUAUCCUUUAGAGGAUUCCGAUCCAGGCAUACUGGAACUGAUUGCUCACCAAGCUCGAUGUCUCACCUCCUGUUGCUGCUGCUCAUCCACAUUACCCUUCUGUUUCCAAGGACCAGCGAGCGCUUAGAGUGUCCAUUAUGCUGUCUUUGGGGACACGGCUCUGUCGAAGCCGUGAACAUUUGAUGGGCACAUUAGCGCAAGGCAACACGUCAUUACAUGACCAUUUACACAUAAUCACCCACUUAGGAAGACCCCAUAGGACAGAACCGCGUAGCACGGGCCAUUUACACACCCUGUGUGUGUCCGCGCUGGUGCACGGAUGGGGACGUAUGCGUGCGUAUGGGGAUGCGUGUUUGCGCAUAUGUUCUGGCCUAAUAGUCCAUCUGACACAUGCCUUAUGGUGAUGUUCAGAAAUAACCAUCAAAAUGACCAAUGUGCUUCCUCUUUCAUGGCAACACACUCCGAAGCUGUUCUGUCUUUCUGUCGCCUGCCUUGCUGGAUCACACACACACUCUCCCCCCCUCUUUCUCUCAUAGGACAUUACUGUCCCAGGUGGAGAGAUUGAGAAGCUCUUUUUCUCUUUUACUAUUUCUCAUCGCUUCUGUUGUCCGUAUGCAUGUUUGCUGCACUUACCAGCAAAGGGGAUGAGUGCAGUAAGCCACUCUGAGAUGAUACGCCACGCUCUUCGCAAUCCAUUGCUAUUUGGCAUAGGGAAGAAAGGCGAAAAUAACCCUGCUGAGAAAUGCGGAGAGGACAGGAAAAGCAUACAUUUUGUGCUGAUAUCUUAAUUUACAAAUAUUACCGGGUAUAUCUAGUCCAUGUUUCAAAAACACAAAUAUUGACUAUUUGUAAAAUGUUUUUUUUCUUCUUCGCUCAUGGUGGGGCCACGCCCCAUUGCCCUCAAUAGACCAGCCGCUUCUGGUUAUGACUAUAACAACAAAUAAUAACCCACAAGUAAUGCUUUUUUACCGGGUAAAACAUCACAACACAACAGUUUGUGGACAGAAACAAUUUGUUUCACUAAUAACAGUAUGAGUAAGAUUACCCAGCUGAAGUCAAUGCUGAUUAAUGCUCGCCAUCAAGAAGAAACCCCAUUGCUACAUGAAAAAGAGCUUUUUGGUUUUGAUCCAACGUAAGUUAGAUCGGGAAA